UACGAAGGGGGCUAGCGUUGCUCGGAAUCAUUGGGCGUAAAGGGCGCGUAGGCGGCCUUGUAAGUCUCGUGUGAAAGCCCUCGGCUUAACUGAGGAUCUGCACGGGAUACUGCGAGGCUUGAGUUCGGGAGAGGAAAGCGGAAUUCCGGGUGUAGCGGUGAAAUGCGUAGAUAUCCGGAGGAACACCAGUGGCGAAGGCGGCUUUCUGGACCGACACUGACGCUGAUGCGCGAAAGCUAGGGGAGCAAACGGG
rnacentral:rRNA from 1 species